rnacentral:rRNA from 1 species
AAUCCAUAGGUUAAUGAGGCGAACCGGGGGAACUGAAACAUCUAAGUACCCCGAGGAAAAGAAAUCAACCGAGAUUCCCCCAGUAGCGGCGAGCGAACGGGGAGGAGCCCAGAGCCUGAAUCAGCAUGUGUGUUAGUGGAAGCGUCUGGAAAGGCGCGCGAUACAGGGUGACAGCCCCGUACACAAAAGCGCAUGUGCUGUGAGCUCGAUGAGUAGGGCGGGACACGUGGUAUCCUGUCUGAAUAUGGGGGGACCAUCCUCCAAGGCUAAAUACUCCUGACUGACCGAUAGUGAACCAGUACCGUGAGGGAAAGGCGAAAAGAACCCCGGCGAGGGGAGUGAAAAAGAACCUGAAACCGUGUACGUACAAGCAGUGGGAGCCCCACCACCAAAGCAUUUGCUGUACCGCGUUGACGGAGCGAAGCGACGUCAAACCGAUAAAACAGCAGUGUAAAGUGAGCCGCAGGGCGCUUUGCGCGACAGCGCAAAGGCAGGCGGUUUCGCGUAGCGAAAGCGAAUGCUUUGGGGUGGGGUGACUGCGUACCUUUUGUAUAAUGGGUCAGCGACUUAUAUUCUGUAGCAAGGUUAACCGAAUAGGGGAGCCGGAGGGAAACCGAGUCUUAAUUGGGCGUUAAGUUGCAGGGUAUAGACCCGAAACCCGGUGAUCUAGCCAUGGGCAGGUUGAAGGUUGGGUAACACUAACUGGAGGACCGAACCGACUAAUGUUGAAAAAUUAGCGGAUGACCUGUGGCUGGGGGUGAAAGGCCAAUCAAACCGGGAGAUAGCUGGUUCUCCCCGAAAGCUAUUUAGGUAGCGCCUCGUGAAUUCAUCUCCGGGGGUAGAGCACUGUUUCGGCUAGGGGGCCAUCCCGGCUUACCAACCCGAUGCAAACUGCGAAUACCGGAGAAUGUUAUCACGGGAGACACACGGCGGGUGCUAACGUCCGUCGUGAAGAGGGAAACAACCCAGACCGCCAGCUAAGGUCCCAAAGUCAUGGUUAAGUGGGAAACGAUGUGGGAAGGCCCAGACAGCCAGGAUGUUGGCUUAGAAGCAGCCAUCAUUUAAAGAAAGCGUAAUAGCUCACUGGUCGAGUCGGCCUGCGCGGAAGAUGUAACGGGGCUAAACCAUGCACCGAAGCUGCGGCAGCGACACUGUGUGUUGUUGGGUAGGGGAGCGUUCUGUAAGCCUGCGAAGGUGGCCUGUGAGGGUUGCUGGAGGUAUCAGAAGUGCGAAUGCUGACAUAAGUAACGAUAAAGCGGGUGAAAAGCCCGCUCGCCGGAAGACCAAGGGUUCCUGUCCAACGUUAAUCGGGGCAGGGUGAGUCGACCCCUAAGGCGAGGCCGAAAGGCGUAGUCGAUGGGAAACGGGUUAAUAUUCCCGUACUUGGUGUUACUGCGAAGGGGGGACGGAGAAGGCUAUGUUGGCCGGGCGACGGUUGUCCCGGUUUAAGCGUGUAGGUGUGUGUUCCAGGUAAAUCCGGUUCACUUUAACACUGAGGCGUGACGACGAGGCACUACGGUGCUGAAGCAACAAAUGCCCUGCUUCCAGGAAAAGCCUCUAAGCAUCAGGUAACAUCAAAUCGUACCCCAAACCGACACAGGUGGUCAGGUAGAGAAUACCAAGGCGCUUGAGAGAACUCGGGUGAAGGAACUAGGCAAAAUGGUGCCGUAACUUCGGGAGAAGGCACGCUGACACGUAGGUGAAGUGAUUUACUCAUGGAGCUGAAGUCAGUCGAAGAUACCAGCUGGCUGCAACUGUUUAUUAAAAACACAGCACUGUGCAAACACGAAAGUGGACGUAUACGGUGUGACGCCUGCCCGGUGCCGGAAGGUUAAUUGAUGGGGUCAGCGCAAGCGAAGCUCCUGAUCGAAGCCCCGGUAAACGGCGGCCGUAACUAUAACGGUCCUAAGGUAGCGAAAUUCCUUGUCGGGUAAGUUCCGACCUGCACGAAUGGCGUAAUGAUGGCCAGGCUGUCUCCACCCGAGACUCAGUGAAAUUGAACUCGCUGUGAAGAUGCAGUGUACCCGCGGCAAGACGGAAAGACCCCGUGAACCUUUACUAUAGCUUGACACUGAACAUUGAGCCUUGAUGUGUAGGAUAGGUGGGAGGCUUUGAAGUGUGGACGCCAGUCUGCAUGGAGCCGACCUUGAAAUACCACCCUUUAAUGUUUGAUGUUCUAACGUGGACCCGUUACCCGGGUUGCGGACAGUGUCUGGUGGGUAGUUUGACUGGGGCGGUCUCCUCCUAAAGAGUAACGGAGGAGCACGAAGGUUGGCUAAUCCUGGUCGGACAUCAGGAGGUUAGUGCAAUGGCAUAAGCCAGCUUGACUGCGAGCGUGACGGCGCGAGCAGGUGCGAAAGCAGGUCAUAGUGAUCCGGUGGUUCUGAAUGGAAGGGCCAUCGCUCAACGGAUAAAAGGUACUCCGGGGAUAACAGGCUGAUACCGCCCAAGAGUUCAUAUCGACGGCGGUGUUUGGCACCUCGAUGUCGGCUCAUCACAUCCUGGGGCUGAAGUAGGUCCCAAGGGUAUGGCUGUUCGCCAUUUAAAGUGGUACGCGAGCUGGGUUUAGAACGUCGUGAGACAGUUCGGUCCCUAUCUGCCGUGGGCGCUGGAGAACUGAGGGGGGCUGCUCCUAGUACGAGAGGACCGGAGUGGACGCAUCACUGGUGUUCGGGUUGUCAUGCCAAUGGCACUGCCCGGUAGCUAAAUGCGGAAGAGAUAAGUGCUGAAAGCAUCUAAGCACGAAACUUGCCCCGA